GAUCAUGGCUCAGGAUGAACGCUGGCGGCGUGCUUAACACAUGCAAGUCGAGCGAAGCGCUUAUGAAAGAUUCUUCGGAUGAAUUCAUUUGUGACUGAGCGGCGGACGGGUGAGUAACGCGUGGGUAACCUGCCUCAUACAGGGGGAUAACAGUUGGAAACGACUGCUAAUACCGCAUAAGCGCACGGUACCGCAUGGUACAGUGUGAAAAACUCCGGUGGUAUGAGAUGGACCCG
rnacentral:rRNA from 1 species